rnacentral:rRNA from 1 species
AAAAAACAUGUCCUCUUGAUUAUAUUUUGAGGUCUGGCCUGCUCACUGAUAAAUUUAAAGAGCCGCGGUAUUUUGACCGUGCAAAGGUAGCAUAAUCAUUAGUCUUUUAAUUAAGGGCUGGAAUGAAUGGCUUGACGAGAAAUUAACUGUCUCUUAAUAAUUUAUAAAAUUUAACUUUUGAGUCAAAAGGCUUAAAUUUUUCUUUAGGACGAGAAGACCCUAUAGAGCUUAACAUAUAAUUUAUAUUUAUACAUUAGAUGAUUUUUAUAUGUUUAAUGAUAAUGUUUUGUUGGGGUGACAUGAAGAAUUAAUAAACUCUUCAUUAUAAAAUCAUUAAUUUAUGUUUAUUUUUGAUCCAUAAUUUAUGAUCAUAAGAUUAAGUUACCUUAGGGAUAACAGCGUAAUUGUUUUUGAGAGCUCAAAUCAACAAAGCAGAUUGCGACCUCGAUGUUGGAUUAAGAAAAAUUUUGGGUGC